CUUCUUUCUCAGCCUUUUGGCUAAGAUCUAGUGUAGUAUCUGUUCUUAUCAGUUUAAUAUUCGUCUUUUUCAUAUUGUUUAUAGGAGUGCUCUGCACAUUCUGGAUGUGAUCCCUU
ensembl:snRNA U2 U2 spliceosomal RNA